GAUGAACGCUGGCGGCGUGCCUAAUACAUGCAAGUCGAGCGAACAGACGAGGAGCUUGCUCCUCUGACGUUAGCGGCGGACGGGUGAGUAACACGUGGAUAACCUACCUAUAAGACUGGGAUAACUUCGGGAAACCGGAGCUAAUACCGGAUAAUAUAUUGAACCGCAUGGUUCAAUAGUGAAAGACGGUUUUGCUGUCACUUAUAGAUGGAUCCGCGCCGCAUUAGCUAGUUGGUAAGGUAACGGCUUACCAAGGCGACGAUGCGUAGCCGACCUGAGAGGGUGAUCGGCCACACUGGAACUGAGACACGGUCCAGACUCCUACGGGAGGCAGCAGUAGGGAAUCUUCCGCAAUGGGCGAAAGCUAGACGGAGCAACGCCGCGUGAGUGAUGAAGGUCUUCGGAUCGUAAAACUCUGUUAUUAGGGAAGAACAAAUGUGUAAGUAACUAUGCACGUCUUGACGGUACCUAAUCAGAAAGCCACGGCUAACUACGUG
rnacentral:rRNA from 1 species